rnacentral:lncRNA from 1 species
GCGUUCCUUCCGGCGUCUCCAACCGCCGCCUGCUCCCGCCGUCCACCCGCGCGGGCCGCCUGGGACGGGGAGGGCCGGGCUGCGGGCUUUUCUCCCUUCCAGAGUCCUGCGCCCGCCCAAAGCCCCCCCGCAGAGGCUGGGCAGCGGCUCCGGGAAGUGGACGCCGUUUGCCCAGACGGUGGGCUCGACUGAAGCGGCGCGGUCCCGGGUGGGGCCGCCCGGGAAGAAAGUCUCCCAGUUAAGCUGCCGUGCAAUUAAGAUGGUUGGGUUUGGAUUGUUGUACUUUUUUUUUUGUUCGUUGCAUUUUUAGGAACAAAAAAAAAAGCCCAACCCUUCACACCACUUCAUCCGCAUCUCAAGACCAGAAGCCGACCCCAGCGGCUUGGGGAAAUGGAGCCCCGCACCCCACAAGGGGGAGGGUGGGACGGGCACCUCCGCACUGCGCGGCCUGCGGAGUCACCGAUUCGCGUUGGGAGCGCGCCAGGAGCGCCAGGGCUCUAGCCGGGGGCUCCGGGCAAGGCGCAACCAGAAAAGGGUUCAGUAUCCCCCAUCACCCCCACCCCCAACCGUACCCUCUUUCUUUGCGGGCUUUAGGCAGGACACCAGAGACCCAAUUCUAUUUAAAAUUCUCUUUUAAGAAAAGGAACGCCUGUUUUUGCCUUUGGGGGAAAGGAUGAACUUUCAAAUUGGCUUUAAAUUAUCCACCACUAACAGUUACUCAGUCGAUAACCUGACUAUUCUGACGUCCACCUCCCGUUUGAGGACCUUGCCCAAUAGCAAACGUACUAAGCACUUAACCAGUGAACGGUGUGAAGGAUGCAAACAUGGAUGAUGAAGGAAUGGCUCCUCCAGAAUUUACGAUCUUGGGAGAAGUGAGGCGAGUAUAGAAUCUCAGAACACGCUGUAGGAUUGAGUUCGAUCCCAGUUGAGGAAGUUUGGGUUUGGGGAGGAAAUAGGUUAUUUUGGAGAAACGGUAUUCAAAACCUACCAUAAAUAGCAGUACAGCCCGUUGACUAAUAAUGCUUAGCCCAACCCCCGUAAAAAGCCCCUGGCCACAUCCGUCUCCUGAGAUUCCCACUUCUCUGUGUGCAUCUCCCUUCCUGCUAUAAGAAACCUAACUUUGCCUUCGUAGAACACUUCUUUUAAUUUCUGUCAUUCAGUCUCAUAACACUGUGUAAAAGAAAUUAUGAUCUUCAUCCUAUAUAGAUGAGAAAACAGGUGAAGUGACUUUUCCAAGGUACAAAAGCAAGAGGCAGAGCUGAGGCUAAAGGCAGCUUCCAGAUAUGGGCUCUUUCUACAGCACCAUAACUGUCAGUGACAAAACUGCACCCCAGUACCUUACUAAAUUUAGUGUUUUUAGGCCAGGCACGGUGGCUCACGCCUGUAAUCCCAGCACUUUGGGAGGUCGAGGCGGGCAGAUCACCUGAGGUCAGGAGUUCCAGACCGGACUGACCAACAUGGUGAAACCUGGUCUCUACUAAAAAUACAAAAAUUAGCCGGUCAUGGUGCCGUAUGCCUGUAGUCCCAGCUACUUGAGAGGCUGAGGCAGGAGAAUAGCUUGAACCCGGGAGAUGGAGGUUGCAGUGAGCCGAGAUCCUACCACUGCACUCCAGCCUGGGCAACAGAGCAAGACUCCGUCUCAAUAACUAAAUUAAUUAAUUAAUUUAGUGUUUCUAAAAAAACAAAGUGAUCUGUAGAAACAUCUCAUUUAUUUGUUGUCAUUGUGUGUUGAUUGAUUUUGAGACAGGGUCUAUCUCUGUCCCCCAGGCUGGAGUGCAGUAGCAUGAUCAUGGCUCACUACAGCCUCAAGCCCCUGGGCCCAAGUUAUCCUCCUCCCUUAGCCUCCCAAGUAGCUGGGACCACAGACAUGCGCCACCACGCCUGGCUAAUUUUAUUUUUUGUAAAGAUAGAGUCUCACUAUGUUGCCCAGGCUGGUGUCAAACUCCUGGGCUCAAGUGUUCCUCAGGCCUCAGCCUCCCAAAGUGCUGGGAUUACAGGCGUGAGCCACCACACCCAGCCAUAUGGAAACAUUUCAGAUAUCCUAAUAUUAAAAUGAUAUUUCACAAGACUGGACAGUUAUUAACUCAUGUGAAAGGAAAAUCUUGGGGCCCCAAAAUCACUAAGCUAAAGGAAAAAGUCAAGCUUCGGAGAACUGCUUAGGGCAAACCUGCCUCCCAUUCUAUUCAAAGUCAUCCCUCUGCUCACUGAGAUAAAUGAAUAUCUGAUUGCCUCCUUUGGAAAGGGUAACCAGAAACUCAAAAGAAUGCAGUGAUUUGCCUCUUAUCUCCCUAAAACCUGGAAGCCCGCCCCCUGUUUUGAGUUGUCCCACCUUUGCUUCAAGUCGUCCCACCUUUUCUGGACUGAACCAGUGUUCAUCUUACACACGCUGAUUGAUGUCUCGUGUCUUCCUAAAAUGUACAAAACCAAACUGCUCUGACCACCUCGGGUUCUGACCUCCUGAAGCUGUAUCAUGGGCACGCAUCCUCAACCGUGGCAAAAUAAACUUUCUAAAUUAACUGGGACAUGGCUCAGAUUUUUAGGGUUCACACGCAAAACCCACAAAUUAUCCUUAAUAUAAUUAUAUAAUAUAUAUUUAUGUAGUUAGAUCUGGUUGGUGGUAGAUACUAAUACACUUUUGCCCAACUAAGUGUAAAACACAUUAAAUCUGUAUAGCAAUCUCUAGACUAUUACACAAAAUUAACUACUAACUAGAAAACACAGUAUAUUAAAUUCUCUUAAGUGUGGAAAAAUGGAGAAGGAAGAAUAACCUUUUCUCUCCUCCCGUGGUCCUAAUACACAGAACAGCGACUGGGAAACUGCCACUAGAAAAAGAUGACUGUCCAACUAAAACCUGCAUACACAGCUACAUCCUUCCCUGGAAGAGCACAGUGGAACUAGAUCCUAGUACAGAUAGCACAGGGAUUGUCAACAUUCUUGUCACACUGAAAUUUCCUUCUACUGAUCUCCAAAGAUGGUGUUUUGCCAUGUUGCCUAGGCUAGUCUCAAACUCACAGACUCCAAUGAUCCACCCGCUUUGGCCAAUCAAAGUGCUGGAAUUACA